GCCCCUCUGCGAGCCUCGAGCCCCCGGGAGCGCUUCUGCCUGGGAGGCUGAGCCCUGCCCCGCUGGUGAGAGUGUUACUGCCCGGGGCCGGGGGCAGAGAAAAAACACCUGGAACAGCAGCGAAAUAACCUUCAGCCUCAGCCUGUGCGGGUGGGUGAAGCUUCUGUCUCCUCGGACCCGUGACCUGCACUGAGCUCAGAGCGGGGCAGGGGGUGACUUGCUGUUGGUAGAGCUGGUGGUGUCAGGGAGCAGGAAUUUAAAUCCACCCCGGGGAUCCUUAGGAGCUCAGCCCAGAAGUUACUGACUCCGCACAUCUCUGGCUGCUGAGCUGUGCUUGGGGAGUUCUGGCUGCUUGUCUCACCUGUGCUCUGCAGCAUCACAUUGCAACACGCCAGCCAGCACACCCAGGCAGUCUCUCUAAUUGCAGAGACUGAGUUGAAUUUGACCCACAGCCUCUGACUUCUCAUCACGGCUCCUUUCCUGGACUAUCCUGGAUGAAGGAGAUGGACAUACAGAUUCCCCAAAGAGAAGGAUGACACAAGAUAGACCCCUGGAGUGCCAUGGGGAGAAGGAUGGCUUUGUGAUUCAGGCAGUGGACUAGGAGUCAGGAGAUGAGUGUUUCUUUCCACUCUGCUGUCAGUUCUCCAACAGACUCACCAUGUGGACUUGACCUGGUGUAUCCAUUGCUGCUUCCACUCCAGAGGUGUCGACAUGUCAUUAGAAUUCUCAAUGUUCUAUAUAGUAAUGGUGUGUAUGUUUAAUAAAAUGUCUACAGCGUGUUAAGGUCCCUCCUGAAGAAAGGUGCUACAUGU